CAGCUACAAGAUGUGUGGCGAGCAGAAUGCUGCAAGGAAUGAAGAAAAUAAGAAAUUAAAUAAAUGGAGUGAAUGCUGUAUGGGUUGGUCACCACUGAGAGGAACAUUAUAGGAUCUGCUGUGUGGUCUAAUCAAGCCCAUUGAGCUGACAGAGGCUGAUCCAGCACAGAGGUGCAGUGCCUGGUCUCCAGAGGAGGGCUCACCCUGAGCCUCUGCAGCAGCAGUGAUGCAUUCCUGGGGCUGGGAAUCCAGGAAUGCUCCCACCAGGCACACGGAGAGUAACCAAGGAAAACAGAUUCUGAUGAAGUUGCUGUUCACUUUUAAUGGCAUGAUCCAUGCUCAAGGAUAUUUCACCUUUUGUUAUUUUUUCUUCAGGUUUUCUGCCUAUGUGCACUUUGCUUUCUCAACUAAAAAAAAAAAAAAGGGAAAACAAAUCCUGAGGACUGAAAGUGGAGGAAAACGUCACAUAUCUUGGUGCUUGUGGUUCUUCGCACUGGGAGAGAAAAAAUCCACUGCAUGUUUCCUGAAACCAAAUAAAGAUUGAAAUUUAUAUUUAUUGCAAUACAAGCCCCUUUCUGACAGGUGUGUCUUUCCUGGAGUUGCUGGAAGUCACAUCAUCCAACAUCUUGGGCUUUCUUUGGGGAGAAGAAAAGAAAAUGCCAGUGUGAGAAUAUUUCUGGGUAGAACAAACCUCUUAGGCAGCCACAUACAUUAAAGCAGAACUACUAUAAAUGUCCUGUCCAUUUAUUCAGAUGGCUCUUACAAAGAGCAUUUGUGGG